rnacentral:tRNA from 1 species
GCCCCUGUAGCUCAAUGGACAGAGCACCUGCCUUCUAAGCAGUUGGCUGAGAGUUCGAAUCUCUCCAGGGGCGCCU